GGACUCGUUGCUUAGCCUGGCUAAAGCGCAGGUCUUAUAAAUGACCGUCGGACAGACAAUAUAGUUGCUUAAAUUGUCCGUUUUAAGUAAAAGCCUGAGUGUUCUCUACAUUUAUGUAGAGCUCUAAGGAAAUCGGGGGUUCGAAUCCCCCCGAGUCCA
rnacentral:tRNA from 1 species